GGUGAGAUGGCCGAGUUGGUAUGUGCUACCUAGUUCCCUACAUCAUUCCUCGACUAACGACAUCAGGUUAUGGCGCCAGGUUAAGGUUUAUCUUAACAUUACUUCCUGGUCACGUAUGUGGCGUGGGUUCGAGUCCCACUCUCAUCA